UACAGAGGGUGCAAGCGUUAAUCGGAAUUACUGGGCGUAAAGGGUGCGUAGGUGGUUUGAUAAGUUAGGUGUGAAAGUCCCGGGCUUAACCUGGGGAUUGCGCCUGAUACUGUCAGACUAGAGUACUGUAGAGGAAAGUGGAAUUUCCGGUGUAGCGGUGAAAUGCGUAGAUAUCGGAAGGAACACCAGUGGCGAAGGCGACUUUCUGGACAGAUACUGACACUGAGGCACGAAAGCAUGGGGAGCAAACAGG
rnacentral:rRNA from 1 species